CAGCUGGAGGACGCAACCAGGACCCUCCACAAGGCCCUCGCCCUGGAAGGUCUCAGGGACUGGUACCUGAGGAACACCAACGGCUCCACCCACCCAAACCAGGCCAAUGGAAAGGUCAACGCGGGGGUCAACACUAAGGUCAAUUGGGGGGUCAAAGGUCAGGCCGGAGGGGGAGGAGCUCUGCAAAGCCGGCGGAGGACUCGCGGUGUGCUCCACCACGAGCUGCAGGCGCACCAGAAGACGCUGACGCACUCGGCCACGUCCCACGGCAGGUAUGUGGACUCCUCCCCCCCUCAGGAGGACCAGCCGUCUCCUGGGACUCUGGUCUGACUCGCCGACCAAUCAGGAUGCAGACGGACAGAUCCACGGACCAAUCCCAGGCCGGCGUUCUGGGACCACCCCCUCUGGACAAGGCCCGCCCCUGUGAUGAUGUCACGGCCCUGUGACCUGGGGGGCGUCCCAGGUGUGACUGCUCAACCCCAAAGGCAUUCUGGGUAAAGAAAAUACAGUUUUUUCUUCCUUUUUUUCUACGAUGACGUCGUUCAUCUGACAAUCAGGACAAAAGCAUGACAUGAACUUCUGAAGAGGAGGAGGAGGAAGAGGAGGAGGAGCAGAUAAUCACCAGCUCAAACCAGCCAACCUUUUCAUGACGUUUAGGUGAUCAGGUGACCUUCAGGUGAGACUCUUCAGGUAUUCUUAGUUUGGACUCUUCCUCCUUCCCUGCGAUGAACCAGGACCACCAGGACUACCAGGACCACCAGGACCACCUCUGAAUGUGGUCUGAUGGGGUCUGAUGGGGUCUGAUGGGGUCCAGAUCCAGUGUGAGAGCAAUAAGAGGACCAGGGAGUCCUGAAUGAACCUUUGCGGCGACAAUCAGACGAUGAUGUCACGGUGCUGAUCCAUCGGUUAUUGAUCGACUGCACUGAGCCUGUUUUGUUUUGAGCUUUAGUGAAACUCUUUUAUACAGAUUUCCUUGAACUCAACAUGAAUGAAAUGCAACUUUUUUUAGUCGUCGGCCUGACUGAUCCACCAAUAAGUUGAUUGAUGAAUAUAUUGAUUAUCAAUCAAUUACAUGUGUCUGUGUUGUGAUGUGUCGUUUGUUCUGAGUUCAGCUCGUCACGCAAUUUUUCCAUUUAAACACAUGAAGAUCUAUAGUAAAAAUAUAUAUACAUAUAUAUAUAUAUUUAUAUUUAUAUAAAUAUAUAUAUAUAAAUAAUAUAUAUAAUUAUAUAUAAAUAUACAGUAUAUACACUUACUGAUCGAGCUUCGGAGGAGGAGAAAGUCCCAGCAUGCACCUCUUCUUACUCACGCCAAAGCAGAAAAGAAUACUCAGUGAUGUGUUCAAGAACCCUGAAUACUGUGGUACUAGUAAGUAAUACUAUGCAGUAACACCAAACUCUGGACAGACUUGUGAGUAUUUGAAAAGUACCUGUAUGUACCUGAGUUACAGUCGUACUCUACCUGAGCAAGUGGUGCCCUCCUUCAGGUCGAGGACCACCUGAUGUCUCCACUAUGGUGCGUUCAGGGUCACUCUGUACAGUUGUUGUUGUUUUUUCAUUUUGAAACAAUCUAAACUUUCUGAAAAAUACUUUUCUAUCUUUUUUCACUCGUUCUGCCGUUUUUUGUGAAAAUGUAAAUAAACGAUGUGAAUGAUGAA